rnacentral:misc_RNA from 1 species
GGAAAUUUUAGAGUUGAUCAUGAUGUUUCAACCUUAACAAGUCUCUGAUGCCAUGAUUUCUAUCCAUGGCUUGGCAUAACUAGAACUGCAGUAACAGUUCUCUUUCUUUUGUAAUAUGUCAAUUAAUCUCAGAUUCCUUUUUGCUUAUGGGUAUUGAGUGAUAGUGAUAGAUUUUUAAUACUAUUCUUGAGUGAGGGAACAAUAAAUCAUGUGGCCUUUUUCCGUCUGUCUGUUUGUCUGUCAAACACCAAAGUGGACAGAUUUAUUUCCUGAUUGGGGCUUGGAAGCAGUGUAUAGAUUUAUUUCCUGGAAAGGCUGCUUAUGUUUAGGUGCUUGGAAAGGUCAAUUUGUCUGUGUAAUUUGAAGGUCACUGUCUGUAAGAGUUGGUAGAUGGGGUGUAUCUACAGUGCUAUAUGCUGGA